rnacentral:rRNA from 1 species
AUUGAACGCUGGCGGCAGGCCUAACACAUGCAAGUCGAGCGGAAGAAGGGAGCUUGCUCCUGGAUCCAGCGGCGGACGGGUGAGUAAUGCCUAGGAAUCUGCCUGGUAGUGGGGGAUAACGUCCGGAAACGGGCGCUAAUACCGCAUACGUCCUGAGGGAGAAAGUGGGGGAUCUUCGGACCUCACGCUAUCAGAUGAGCCUAGGUCGGAUUAGCUAGUUGGUGGGGUAAAGGCCUACCAAGGCGACGAUCCGUAACUGGUCUGAGGGGAGGAUCAGUCACACUGGAACUGAGACACGGUCCAGACUCCUACGGGAGGCAGCAGUGGGGAAUAUUGGGCAAUGGGCGAAAGCCUGAUCCAGCCAUGCCGCGUGUGUGGAGAAGGUCUUCGGAUUGUAAAGCACUUUAAGUUGGGGGGAAGGGCAGUAAGUUAAUACCUUGCUGUUUUGACGUUACCAGCAGAAUAAGCACCGGCUAACUUCGUG